rnacentral:rRNA from 1 species
CGUGUAGGCGGCUUCGCAAGUCAGAGGUGAAAUGUCCCGGCUCAACCGGGGACCUGCCUUUGAAACUGCGGAGCUUGAGGCCGUGAGAGGAGACUGGAAUUCCCAGUGUAGCGGUGAAAUGCAUAGAUAUUGGGAAGAACACCAGUGGCGAAGGCGAGUCUCUGGCACGGUUCUGACGCUGAGGCGCGAAAGCUAGGGGAGCGAACG